rnacentral:rRNA from 1 species
CCCUUAGAUGUUCUGGGCCGCACGCGCGCUACAAUGAUGAAUUCAACGAGUUUAUAACCUUGGUUGAAAAGCCUGGGUAAUCUUUUGAACUUUCGUCGUGAUGGGGCUAGACCCUUGCAAUUAUUGGUCUCCAACGAGGAAUUCCUAGUAAACGCAAGUCAUCAGCUUGCAUUGAUUACGUCCCUGCCCUUUGUACACACCGCCCGUCGCACCUACCGAUUGAAUGGUCCGGUGAAAUCUUCGGAUUGAGACUCUGAUUUCUUCACGGAAAACGCUGUUUUAAGAAGUUGAUUAAACCUUACCAUUUAGAGGAAGGUGAAGUCGUAACA